rnacentral:snRNA from 1 species
GAAUGUGAGGGUAAUCUGGCUGUGACAUCUGUGACUUCACUGAUUGCCAGGGUUGAUUCAGGUGAUCCGGUUGGCUAGGUAGGUGUCUCCUUCCUCCCUCACUGCUCCAUGUGUGUCCCUCCCAAAGCUGAGCUUCUGAGUAGCCAUGCUCCCCUGCUAAAACCUCCAGAAAUGGCUAUGCAAAGGACUUGCAGGCUUGAAGCUCUGAGAUCCUACGUUCAAUCUCCAGUAUCAUCAAAAACCAGAGCUGUGGUAUAAAGUUUACCAUUUUAAUUAGUCCUAAAAAAUUAUUUU